UACAGAGGUCUCAAGCGUUGUCCGGAAUCAUUGGGGCGUAAAGAGCGUGUAGGCGGCCUGGUAAGUCCGCUGUGAAAGUCCAGGGCUCAACCCUGGAAUGCCGGUGGAUACUGUCGGGCUAGAGUCCGGAAGGGGCGAGUGGAAUUCCUGGUGUAGCGGUGAAAUGCGCAGAUAUCAGGAGGAACACCAAUGGCGAAGGCAGCUCGCUGGGACGUGACUGACGCUGAGACGCGAAAGCGUGGGGAGCGAACAGG
rnacentral:rRNA from 1 species